CCUACGGGAGGCAGCAGUGGGGAAUUUUGGACAAUGGGCGCAAGCCUGAUCCAGCAAUGCCGCGUGCAGGAUGAAGGCCUUCGGGUUGUAAACUGCUUUUGUACGGAACGAAACGGUCUGCUCUAAUACAGUGGGCUAAUGACGGUACCGUAAGAAUAAGCACCGGCUAACUACGUGCCAGCAGCCGCGGUAAUACGUAGGGUGCGAGCGUUAAUCGGAAUUACUGGGCGUAAAGCGUGCGCAGGCGGUUAUAUAAGACAGAUGUGAAAUCCCCGGGCUCAACCUGGGACCUGCAUUUGUGACUGUAUAGCUAGAGUGCGGCAGAGGGGGAUGGAAUUCCGCGUGUAGCAGUGAAAUGCGUAGAUAUGCGGAGGAACACCGAUGGCGAAGGCAAUCCCCUGGGCCUGCACUGACGCUCAUGCACGAAGACGUGGGAGGACAACAAGGAGUAGUAUACCUACGGUAGUCCGACCGACCCUAACCGAA
rnacentral:rRNA from 1 species